GCCUUGAAGAUCGGAGUGCUUGCACUCUGUGAAACAAGAUACAGGCUAGCGGCGGACGGGUGAGUAACACGUGGGUAACCUGCCCAAGAGAUCGGGAUAACACCUGGAAACAGAUGCUAAUACCGGAUAACAACAGAUGAUGCCUAUCAACUGUUUAAAAGAUGGUUCUGCUAUCACUCUUGGAUGGACCUGCGGUGCAUUAGCUAGUUGGUAGGGUAACGGCCUACCAAGGCGAUGAUGCAUAGCCGAGUUGAGAGACUGAUCGGCCACAUUGGGACUGAGACACGGCCCAAACUCCUACGGGAGGUAGCAGUAGGGAAUCUUCCACAAUGGACGCAAGUCUGAUGGAGCAACGCCGCGUGAGUGAAGAAGGGUUUCGGCUCGUAAAGCUCUGUUGUUGGUGAAGAAGGACAGGGGUAGUAACUGACCUUUGUUUGACGGUAAUCAAUUAGAAAGUCACGGCUAACUACGUGCCAGCAGCCGCGGUAAUACGUAGGUGGCAAGCGUUGUCCGGAUUUAUAGGGCGUAAAGCGAGUGCAGGCGGCUCGAUAAGUCUGAUGUGAAAGCCUUCGGCUCAACCGGAGAAUUGCAUCAGAAACUGUCGAGCUUGAGUACAGAAGAGGAGAGUGGAACUCCAUGUGUAGCGGUGAAAUGCGUAGAUAUAUGGAAGAACACCGGUGGCGAAGGCGGCUCUCUGGUCUGUU
rnacentral:rRNA from 1 species